GCUUUCAAUGAUGACUGUCAUCUGUAUUAUUUUUUGUUUAGCUGUGGGUCUAUUUGCAAACAUGACAUUUGUUCACGCAAACUGCAGUCCUAAAUUAGGUAAUGAUCUACUUGAAGACUUGAUCGGUAUGGUGAAGAAAAUCAAAGGUUCAGGUUAUGAUGGCGAUACACCAGCGUUUUCAGCCUCACUUAGUAAAUCACAGACCUUGGGCUACAAUAGAAACGUUAUAUUUGAUCAAAUAUGGACUAAUGUGAGGAAUGGAUACAGCCCUCACACUGGGGUGUUUACUGUGCCCAUAGGUGGACUUUACCAUAUUUCAUGUACAGUUAUGACUGCUUCUGGGAAAACACUUCGCGUUCAUCUCUGGAAAAAUGAGCAGAAAACUGUAGGUCUGUACCCUAAUCUUGCCAACUUCAAUUCAGCUACUCUUAACAUGGUGUUAGAUCUUGAGAAAGGAGACCGACUGUAUAUCCGACAUGGUAAUUCUCGAUCAGAAGUUGUGUACAGUGAAUCAGGAACAAACUCCAGUAUGUUUUCUGGAUAUCUUAUUUCUAAAUAAAAUGAGUUGAUACCUGCA